CCAAUAUUCUUGGCAAGUGGUGUUGACACAAUACAGUACUUUGUGAUGACUAUAGGAUAAGGAUUAAAGGACUGGAAGAGAACUACAGCUGGCAUGGGAUUGAGAUAGUACCUCAAAUCUAAAUCACAUCUACAUGGGUGUUUUUUCUUGACAAAUAUUAAUACCAUAUUCAGGAUGUAGCUCAGGAUUAAAGGACUGGAAGAAGACUACAUCUGGCAUGGGGUCGAGAUAAUACCUCAAAUCUAAAUACCAUAUUCAUGAUGUAGCUUAUGUAUGCUGGAAUAUGUAAACUGUACUUGAGAUAUGUACCAGACCAUUGGAGAUUGUAUAACACAGAGUAAAGAUAAUGUUCUAUCUGAAGACUGAUGUGUUUAUAAACUUUCACUUUAUCGCAGAACUUAUCAACACAUAUUCAAUAAUAUUGCACUAAGUUCCUGUGUGAGGUAUUAUUAAAAUAGAACAUGGGAAAAACCAGGUUAUUAAAUGAUCCGCUACCCUAUGUCAUAACAUUUUUAAGGUGAAAACAGGAGAGACAUACCGUCAUUUGUAAGCUUAACAUAAGUCAGAGAGAGUCUUGUGUAAUAGAUGGUGGUCUAAAUAUAAUUUUCUGUUUUGUUUGAUUAUAAAUACAGAUUUAUAAAAAGAACAGAUCGUGACCCAUUAGGAGUUAAUUUCAAAUCUUAACAGAGUAAAAUAGAUGAUUAUCAUAUGUUUCAAUGAACUUAUUCUAACUAGAUAAAAACAGUAUUAAUGAUUUUCCAAUAUUAGAAUUUGAUGUUUAUGACUUUAUCUUUUGAUGGUUAUCAACUAUUAAUUAAGGUUUUUAUUUUUUGCUUUGUUAAUGGACAUUGCUUUUGAAAGGAUCAUGAUAUUCCCUGCUAAGUAAAGUAAUGAGAUUAAAUCUUACCUUAAGAAUAAACUUCAUUGUGUUCAUUUUGUUAAUUUUUUUCAAUAAUAUGUUUUGGGUAAACCUAGCAGGAAAUUGCAGAUGUUAAUUUAUGGA